GCAAGUCAUACGAGAAAGUUACCUUCGGGUGGCGAGUAAAGUGGCACACGGGUGAGUAACACGUAGGUGACCUACCGCUUGGUUUGGGAUAACUCGCCGAAGGGCGAGCUAAUAACGGUUAAGUUCACUAACUUUGGAAGGAAGUGAAGAAAGAUGACCUCGUUGCAAUGUUAUCGCCAGGAGAAGGGCCUGCGGGGCAUUAGUUUGUUGGUGGGGUAAUGGCCUACCAAGGCUUUGAUGUGUAGCCGGUCUGAGAGGAUGAUC
rnacentral:rRNA from 1 species